rnacentral:lncRNA from 1 species
AAAAAAGACAACAUUUUUUUCGUUUACUUAGUUCUCAGGAAUAUCAAUCUCACCCUCUUGAAUCUCCUGCUGAAGAUCCUUAGGGUCCUUCCCAUCAACAGUGCACCCCACAGAGACACAGGUCCCAAGAAUCUCCCACUGAAGAUCCUUGGGGUCCUUCCCAUCAACAGUGCACCCAACAGAGACACAGGUCCCAAGAAUCUCCCUCACAGUCCCACUAAGCUCCUUGGCAAUAGAUCUAGGCCUCAUGAUCCUAGCAAUCUCAAUCACAUCAUCAAACGAAAUGUUACCAUUGUGCUUGAUGUUCUUCACCUUCUUGCGGUCCCUCUCCGGCUCCUUCAAGGCCUUGAUGA